GGCACCAUAGCUCAGUUGGUUAGAGCGCCACCUUGACAUGGUAGAGGUAGGCGGUUCGAAUCCGCCUGGUCCUA
rnacentral:tRNA from 1 species